UCCGGGCGGAGUCCCUCUUGGAGUCGAAGUCAUGGGCGAAGCCCGGCUCCCGUAGGAAUUCGGGCGGAGUCCCCCUGAGCCCGCAAGGGUCAAUCCUGCUGAGAACUUCGAUCGUGGGUAUUUUAUACCCAACACCAGUCCCCCUACUUUCGAGUUUGAAUUUCGAAUGAAGGAAGUACAGAGAGAUUGGCAUAGCCGAAGUUGUCUCCUCGAAUCCUGUUCACGACCAUCCCC
rnacentral:lncRNA from 1 species